UGGAGUAAAAGAUAACACCCUCCUCCUCAGCAUAAAUUCCCAACUUCUCUGUAAUAUUUUGCAGCUUCACUUCAGCAUCAAAACUACAAAGACAAUCUAUAGCAGUAUUCUUAUUACUUCUAUGGGGAAUGUAGGAGAAGAAGGAAAAGUGUCAUUAAAAUUCGGGAAAUGCAUAGUGAUAAGGAGAAAGGAAGGUGAGAAUGGUGCUACGAGCAAAAAUAAUAUUUAAAACUAAAAUUACUUAAUUAAGGAGAAAGAAGCAAAAGAAAAUUGAGAAAUUGCUUGAUCAGAACACAAUAUAUAGCUUCUUCUACCCCAAUGACACUUCUCUUCAUAAUACUUAGCUUCUUCCAAUUCCUAGCAAAUGGCACGAAGAGAAGUUAUCAUAUAAACACAAUAAUAUCGUCAAACAGACGCUGACAAGAAAAAAAAACCUGCAUUAUUGAAAUUUUUUGUAGGUGUAGAAGGAAUGCCAUUAGCACAAUAUAAAGCAAUUCUCUCAUCAAUUCAGCAAUAUAAUUCUGCCCAGUCUUUGAUUACUAAAGUUGGCGUGGCUUUUAGUAACUAAAUAACCAAGAUUAAGAUGUAUCGUGAAAGAAUUUUUUUAGUGUUAUCUAAUAGGUGCCCUAUUUCAAUCUUUAUGUCAAAAACUAUUUUCAUGUACUACAAAUUAUCUCUCCUUUACAACAAAAGGAAUCAUUAAUUACAUAGACAAAAGAUAAUAAACUUUGAAUAGAAGCUUCAUUCAUCUGACAAGUUAUACGAUUUCCUAGCAUUUUUUUGAGUCAAAUAAAGAAAAAGAACUAAUACAUUAUAUUUCCAAGCCUCAAUUUGACAGGUCUUAGCUGUUUCUUGAAUUCAAGUAAAAGCUAGUGAAAACUAUUUCAAGCUUUAUAUUCAUAUUAUUCUUUAUUUUAACAUGUGACCUUUUACCUAUAACAAUUUCAUCGAAAUUGUCUCCAUCCAUGUAAUUCAUUAAAUUUUACAAAGGUAAACUGAAAUCUCUAGAGUUCUUGUUCAAUUCUUGAAACAAUAAAAAAAUUUAAGAAAAAAUGAUUUGUUUAUGUGGAUAUAUCUUUGACAGAUUUUAUAACAUAAUUUUUCCUUUGUGCAUUAAUUAUAAGUAUAUAAGUAUAUUUAUUUCUAUUAUAAGAGACUCAAAUUUAAUACUUUGCAAUUUUGUUCUUACUUAAAGAAUGUAAAAAAAAAUUAUAUACAAAGAGAUAUGAAGCCAUAAUUGCACCAACCAAAGGUCACUCUUUUAUUGAACUCAGAUAAAAUCGCAAAACCUGGAAAGAGAAUAUCCCCAAAGCCAAUCAAGCCAUAGCCAUAAUAAGGAUUAGAAGAUUAGAUAGUUGAGAACUCUUAGAAGCUACAAAAAAUUUAAAAAAAGAACUGAGUCAUAUUUCAUCCCAUACAGUUUAAAGAAAAACAUAUAUAGUAAAACUAUUUAAGAAAUAAAAGUUUAUCGCAAAGAACAAACAGAAGGGAACAUAAACAAAAUCCCAGAAUAUUGGAUACCAAUACAAGGAAUACCAACCAAAAAAUCUCAAAAAUAAGGAAGAGAUAAUCAAAUCACAAAAUCAGAGAGAGGCGAUUUACCUCUGGCAGUAAUAGAAAUAAGAGAAACAGAAACUGAAGGGAAAAAUUAAAAUACUGAAGAGCAAAGGAAGAAUUUUACCUUGGGCGAGGGGAGGAAGAAGAGGAGAAGAAGAAGACCCUGUAAGGGAAGAGAAGAUUUGCGAUAAGGAUUAAGAGAAGAGCCAUUUAAGAGCAGUAAAAGAAGCAAUCGUUUCUUUUAUAGGGAAAAUAAGCGACUGUUAAGUUUUCUUUAUUGAAAAACUUUUUUUCAUCAGUUUUAAAAGGAAAAAUGUCAAAAAAGAAUUACAAUAAAGAUUAAUGUCA
rnacentral:lncRNA from 1 species